rnacentral:rRNA from 1 species
AGAGGAACGCAUUUAUUAGAUAAAAAGCCAAUGCAUGCUUUUACAGUAUGAAAAUUGGUGAUUUAUAAUAACUUAGCAAAUCGCAAAGUGAAAACAGGCGAUAAAUCAUUCAAGUUUCUGACCUAUCAGCUUUCGACGGUAUGGUAUUGGCUUACCGUGGCAGUGACGGUUAACGGGGGAUUAGGGUUCGAUUCCGGAGAGGGAGCCUGAGAAACGGCUACCACAUCUAAGGAAGGCAGCAGGCGCGCAAAUUACCCAAUUCUAACAGUUUGAGAGAGGUAGUAACAAGAAAUAACAAUACAAGGCAGUUAAAAUGCUUUGUAAUUGGAAUGAUAGAAAUUUAAACCCUUUUUAAAGUAUCAAUUGGAGGGCAAGUCUGGUGCCAGCAGCCGCGGUAAUUCCAGCUCCAAUAGCGUAUAUUAAAAUUGUUGCAGUUAAAAAGCUCGUAGUUGAAGUUCUGCUAAAAGUAACCGGUCUGCUUUUAAUAAAGGUGGUAUCUUGGUGUGUAUUUAGCAAUGAUGUCCUUUGAAGUGUUUUUUACUUUAUUGUAAUAAAGCAUAUUCAGGACUUUUACUUUGAGAAAAUUAGAGUGUUUCUAGCAGGCUAACGCUUUGAAUACUGCAGCAUGGAAUAAUAAGA